AUCUUACGUGCAAAAAAGAAACAACAAAAAAGUCAAAUUAAAGCAGCCCCACAAAAGUCAAACUCACAGUCCUAUAAAAACCCACUUCCCUGUUACAAAAACGAGCACAGAGCACAGAUCUGGAGAAGAGAGAAAACAAAGACACAAAUCGAAAAACAUGUCUCAGCAAUGCAAAGGCAAGAGUUCAUGGCUGGAGCCAGUCGGUCGACAGGGAAAGGAUGCUGAGAAAAUUAUCGAGAAGGAGAAUCCUCUGGUGAAUGCUGUAAUUGUUGAUGAAGGUUCAUCUGUACUUUUAGACUUUAGGUGUGAUUGGGUUUGGGUUUGGGUUGAUAAAAAGACGGGCAUCGUUACAAGAACUCCUUUCAUUGGUUAAAUCUUAAAAAACUAUGUGUUGAAAUUAA